CCUACGGGUGGCAGCAGUGAGGAAUCUUGGUCAAUGGGCGCGAGCCUGAACCUGCCAAGUCGCGUGAGGGAUGAAGGUUCUAUGGAUCGUAAACCUCUUUUCUAAGGGAAUAAAGUGUGGGACGUGUCCUAUUUUGUAUGUACCUUAUGAAUAAGGAUCGGCUAACUCCGUGCCAGCAGCCGCGGUAAUACGGAGGAUCCGAGCGUUAUCCGGAUUUCUUGGGUUUAAGGGGUGCGUAGGCGGCCUUUUAAGUCAGCGGUGAAAGUCUGUGGCUCAACCAUAGAAUUGCCGUUGAAACUGGGGGGCUUGAGUAUGUUUGAGGCAGGCGGAAUGCGGGGUGUAGCGGUGAAAUGCUUAGAUAUCACGCAGAACCCCGAUUGCGAAGGCAGCGUACUGGCGCCGGACUGACGCUGAGGCACGAAAGCGUGGGUAUCGAACAGGAUUAGAUACCCCGGUAGUC
rnacentral:rRNA from 1 species